rnacentral:rRNA from 1 species
AAUAGUCCUGUAUGUUAAACGAGAAGACUUUAGAUAUGAUCCAGAGUACCACGGGACACGUGAAACCCUGUGGGAAGCAGGAGGGACCACCCUCCAAGGCUAAAUACUACCUAGUGACCGAUAGCGUAUAGUACCGUGAGGGAAAGGUGAAAAGAACCCCGGGAGGGGAGUGAAAUAGAACCUGAAACCCUGCACUUACAAGCUGUGGAAGCACAUUUCUUGUGUGACCGCGUACUUUUUGUAGAACGGGCCAACGAGUUACGUUAAGUAGCAAGGUUAAGCACUUAAGGUGCGGAGCCGUAGCGAAAGCGAGUUUUAACUGAGCGUUCAGUUACUUGACGUAGACCCGAAACCGGGCGACCUACCCAUGAGCAGGAUGAAGCGAAAGUAAAAUUUCGUGGAGGUCCGAACCCACGAGCGUUGAAAAGCUCGGGGAUGACUUGUGGGUAGCGGUGAAAUUCCAAUCGAGCCCGGAGAUAGCUGGUUCUCCCCGAAAUAGCUUUAGGGCUAGCCUCAAGGUGAGAGAUACGGAGGUAGAGCACUGAAUGUCCUAGGGGGUAUUGCACCUACCGAAGACUAUCAAACUCCGAAUGCCGUCAUCUUAUACUUGGGAGUCAGACUGUGGGUGAUAAGAUUCAUAGUCGAAAGGGCAACAGCCCAGAUCGUCAGCUAAGGUCCCUAAAUGUAAGUUAAGUGGUAAAGGAUGUGGGAUUGCACAGACAACCAGGAUGUUGGCUUAGAAGCAGCCACUCAUUCAAAGAGUGCGUAAUAGCUCACUGGUCGAGUGAUCCUGCGCCGAAGAUUUCCGGGGCUAAAACUUACUACCGAAGCUACGGCAUCAGUAAUGAUGGGUAGGGGAGCUUCCCAUACGGGUUGAAGCAUGACCGUAAGGACAUGUGGACAGUAUGGGAGUGAGAAUGUUGGCAUGAGUAGCGAGAUGUGGGUGAGAAUCCCACAGGCCGUAAACCCAAGGUUUCCAGGGGAAGGUUCGUCCGCCCUGGGUUAGUCGGGACCUAAGCUGAGGCCGAAAGGCGUAGGUGAUGGACAACAGGUUGAUAUUCCUGUACUACCGAUAACCGUUUGAGAGAAGGGAUGACACAGUAGGAUAAGCUAAGCACACUGUUGGUUAUGUGUGCCCAAGCAUUGAGGCAGUCAAAGUAGGCAAAUCCGCUUUGAUAAUGCUGGGAUGUGAUGGGGAGCGAAAUUUAGUAGCGAAGUAGCUGAUUUCACACUGUCAAGAAAAGUCUCUAUCGAGGUUAAAGGUACCCGUACCGCAAACCGACACAGGUGGGUGAGGAGAGUAUCCUAAGGCCAGCGAGAGAACUGUUGUUAAGGAACUCGGCAAAAUGACCCCGUAACUUAGGGAUAAGGGGUGCCACCAUCAGGUGGCCGCAGAGAAUAGGCCCAAGCGACUGUUUACCAAAAACAUAGGUUUCUGCUAAGUCGCAAGACGAUGUAUAGGAGCUGACGCCUGCCCGGUGCUGGAAGGUUAAGGGGAUCUGUUAGAGCAAUCGAAGCAGUGAACUUAAGCCCCAGUAAACGGCGGCCGUAACUAUAACGGUCCUAAGGUAGCGAAAUUCCUUGUCGGGUAAGUUCCGACCCGCACGAAAGGCGUAACGAUUUGGGCACUGUCUCAACAACAGACUCGGUGAAAUUGUAAUUCCGGUGAAGAUGCCGGAUACCUGCGACAGGACGGAAAGACCCCAUGGAGCUUUACUGUAGCUUGACAUUGGGUCUUGGUACUACAUGUACAGGAUAGGUGGGAGGCUUUGAAACCAGGACGCCAGUUUUGGCGGAGCCAUCCUUGGGAUACCACCCUUGUAGUACUGGGACUCUAACCAUAGGCCAUGAAUCUGGUCUUGGGACACUGUCAGGUGGGCAGUUUGACUGGGGCGG